rnacentral:rRNA from 1 species
AUUGAACGCUGGCGGCAGGCUUAACACAUGCAAGUCGAACGAGUGGCGGACGGGUGAGUGAUGCUUGAGAAUCUAGCUUAUGGAGGGGGAUAACUACGGGAAACUGUAGCUAAUACCGCGUACCAUAGGAUGAGCCCAAGUGGGAUUCGGUAGUUGGUGUGGUAAAGGCUAACCAAGCCGACGAUCUCUAGCUGGUCUGAGAGGAGGACCAGCCACACUGGGACUGAGACACGGCCCAUACUCCGACGUGAGGCAGCAGUGGGAAAGAUUGCGCAAGGGGCGCAAGCCUGAUGCAGCCAUGCCGCGUGUAUGAAGAAGGCCUUAGGGUUGUAAAGUACUUUCAGCGAGGAGGCGUUACCCGCAGAAGAAGCACCGGCUAACUCCGUGCCAGCAGCCGCGGUAAUAC